UUUAUUUAUCUAUUUGAGAGAGAGAGAGAGAGAGAGAGAGAGAAUGCACGUUAGUGAGCAAGCAGGGGAAGGGGAGAGAGAAUCCCAAGCAGACUCCCUGUUGAGCUCAGAGCCCGGCAUAGGGCUCGAUUCCAGGACCCUGAGAUCAUGACCUGAGCCAAAAUCAAGAGUCAGAUGUUUAAUCGACUGAGCCCCCGGGCACCGCUGCACUCACAGGUGUCUCUGCAAACCCAGCCAGGUCAGAAGCCAGAGGAAGACUCUCCUCCCCCAUCUGUUUUUGGGAAGCCACAUCACAGCCCCUUGCCUCUCCAUGGGAAGGAAAUCCAGCCCAGUGUGCUAUCAAGAAAACAGGGCCAGAGAAGUAAAGGAGGCUGGCACCGUGGGCAGUGCCUGCCACAGAGAAAGGCUGGUCCACAGAGCUGGUUUGAAACACAGAAAAAGCCAAGUGCCAGGAAAGCAAAUAAAGACUGGAUCAUAACACUCAUGAUUCCCCAAGAGGACCUCACGGUUCUGUUCCUCAGGCCAAAAGGGCUUUUAAAGAAGAGCAUGACUCCUCUGCAGCUGGCAUUCCGGCUUCUUAACCUGCUCCUGAGGGCAGCCAUCCACCAUCGGGGGGCUCGGCCAGGGGCAAGGAGAGCAGAGAGCUUGCUCACAGCUUCAGAUCAGCAGCUGCUGAGAAACCUCUCUGGCCUCAGCUUCCAAACCUCAAAUAGUCAUGACAUGAUGAUCCCUACCUCCUCUACCUCCCGGAGAUUUUGCAAGGGUCAGAAGAAAAGAUGUUUCUAUGCAAUGAAAGUCACAGUUUUACCAUAUACUGAUACUCAUUUCAUGAUCCAGGAAUAAGGAGACCUGAGCUGUCACCUUUGAUCCUGAGUGUCCACAGCAGGUACUCAACAUAGGCUCCCAGGCUCGUCUGGACUAAUUCAAGUCUGUAUUAUGCUCCACAGGAUGCCUGCCUGUUGGAAAUAAAUUAUCUCAGAAACAAGGCCAUAUUCUUCCCGAGAGGAUUCAGAGCUAACGAGGCUCAGGAUGCCCCAGAAAGGAUGUACUUGACAGCCGAGGAGCAAAGAAAGUACUUCAGUCCUCUGUCGAAAACCCCUGGUCCGGUUUCAGCUGAAAAGUUUGGAAAAGGGAUGUGGGCCUGUCCCCUGGAUGGUGUGGCAAGGAUGCCACUCAGAGGUGGAAAAUACCUCCUUUCCAAGUGAUAAUGACAGUUUCAGAUGAUUCAUGUAAAGAUGCCCAUAGGGGGGCUGUAGGGGGGCUGUAAUCCCAAUGUCUGCUUUUGCAAGAGGCAGGCAAGAAAGAAGAGGCGAUAAGCGAGAGGGUAAUAGAAAGAUCCCCGGGUCCUUGGGCUUGCCUGCCUUCCGUCUUUCCUUCCUUCCUCCUCUCCUUCCCUCCCACCCUCUCUCUCUCCCACCCUUCCUUCCUUCCUGGCUGACUGGGAGCAAUCAGAGGCUGUGAUGCUCAUCACAUGGUUGAAGUACGCAGAGGGCUGGGGGCUCAGGCCACUGUCUCUGUGGCCAUGGACACACUUCUUCACCCCAAGCCCACCUUCUUUAUCCUUCUUUAUCUGACCCAUGGGACAACAGCCCAGUGGCCAGAUGGUAGGGCGGGGCGGGGGGGGGGGGGCAGGUUCAGAGACCUACAGCAGAUGCUCGAUAAGCCCAGUGACUUUCUGAGAAAAGCUGUGAGCAGAUAAGAAAGUUGCCUGCAGGGGCUUCUAACCUCAAAACAUACUGAAGGCUCAGGGCAGAUGGAUAGACGGUUUCUCUUCAGGAAGUCUGAUGAACUCCUUAUUAGGGAGGGAUACAGUUACCAGAUAGAAAACCGAGCAUUAGAACAAUCAUCCCGUUGAGGAAGGCGCUUGCUCAGCCAGGGGCACGUAGGUGGCUCAGUCUGUCAAGCACCUGCCUUCAACUGGGGUCAUGAUCUCAGGGACUAUAACACGGGGCGACAAGUGUCGCCCAAGUUAGAACGCUUGUCGCCAAGUGUUGCCCAGUGGCAGCAAGUCACACCAAACCCCGACUACUCCAACGGGGAGCAAUGCAGGGAAAGGGAGCAGGGCCAUCCACCUGACGCGGUUACCGGGGAGCUGUGUGACCGUGGACCAAUCCCUCACCCUCUCUGAGCCUUACUCUUCUCAUCUGUACGGAGGCUAAUGAGAACACCCUCACUGGGGAGCCGGGAGGGCUUCGUGGGCCGAUGGAUGUAAAGCCCUGCAGCUCGAUGCCUGGUGCAUGGUGUUAAGUGCAGGGCCUGGCACCAGGUGGACAAUAAUUUAAUAAGCUACCAUAUUUCUUAGUGUUACUAGUAGUAGCAGUAGCAGUAGGUGGUGGCGGUCGUGGCGGCUAUGCCUUUAUUUUUACUACUUUACGAUGGUGCGUGCUCUGCCAAGAACGUUUACAAACUCUGCAGUUAGGAGCUCAGUAUGUUCCUUGCAACUCAACGGUCUGUAGCAGGUAAGCCAUGGCGGGAAGGGUCAGGAGGGGACUCACCGCACCCACCAGGUCAGAGGUGCCUGCAAUGGUCCAGGAGAGGAGGGCUGGCCAGGCCACAGCAGUGCCAUGGGAAUGUGUGGACACAUGCUUCUGUGUUAAGAAACACCUGCCACUCCCCCCACCCCCCACCCCGGGACGCCUGGGUGGCUCAGCGGUUGGGCGUCUGCCUUUGGCUCAGACCGUGAUUCCGGGGUCCCGGGAUCGAGUCCCGCAUCGGGCUCCCUGUGAGGAGCCUGCUUCUCCCUCUGCCUGGGUCUCUGCGUCUCUCUCUGUGUCUCUCAUGAAUAAAAAAAUAAAAAUCUUAAAAAAAAAAAAAAAA
rnacentral:lncRNA from 1 species